GCUUGUUUCCAGCCGGAGCACGAGGGUGCCGGAAGCGGGGGGGGGACUGGAAGCGCUGCAGCGGCGGUGGGUGAAGGAUGGCGGGGCUGGCGGUGCGGGACCCCGCGGUGGAUCGCUCGCUGCGCUCCGUGUUCGUGGGGAAUAUUCCAUACGAAGCCACAGAGGAGCAGCUAAAGGACAUUUUCUCAGAGGUCGGACCUGUCGUCAGUUUCAGGUUGGUGUAUGACAGGGAGACAGGCAAACCAAAGGGAUAUGGCUUUUGUGAAUACCAAGACCAGGAGACAGCACUCAGCGCCAUGCGGAACCUGAAUGGGCGUGAGUUCAGCGGGAGGGCAUUGCGUGUGGACAACGCAGCCAGUGAGAAGAAUAAGGAGGAGCUGAAGAGCCUGGGCACAGGUGCCCCUAUCAUAGAGUCACCAUAUGGAGACCCUAUAAAUCCUGAAGACGCCCCCGAGUCUAUCAGCAGGGCAGUUGCCAGCCUGCCACCUGAGCAGAUGUUUGAGCUGAUGAAGCAGAUGAAGUUGUGUGUGCAGAACAGCCCUCAGGAGGCACGGAACAUGCUGCUCCAGAACCCUCAGCUGGCAUAUGCCCUGCUGCAGGCCCAAGUGGUGAUGAGGAUCGUCGAUCCAGAGAUUGCUCUGAAAAUUCUGCAUCGUCAGACCAGUGUUCCACCUCUGAUUCCAGGCAACCCACAGCCAGUUCCUGGGCCUGGGCCUGGGCCUGGACCCGGGCCCGGGCCUGGUCCAGGUCCUAAUGCACAGAUGAACCAGCAGAAUCCCCCAUCGUCCCAGCCACAGCCCAUAGGUGGCAUGCAUGUAAAUGGAGCUCCUCCUCUGAUGCAGCCUCCUAUGCAGGGUGGAGUGCCAGCCCCAGGACAGAUGCCAGCCUCCGUAGCCGGCCCCGGCCCCUUGGCUCCUGGAGGUGGAAUGCAGCCUCAGGUCGGGAUGCCGGGAGGUGGACCAGUGCCCUUGGAACGUGGACAAGGAAACCUGCAGCUCUCGCCCGUGGGACCUGCCAGGCCUGCAUCUAUCGAGCGAGUUCAAGUGCCCAUGCCAGACCCGAGGGCCCCUAUGCAGCGUGGACCAUUACCUGCUAGCGGCCCACCUCCCCGGGGCCUUCUGGGAGAUGCUCCAAAUGACCCACGUGGAGGGACCCUGCUCUCAGUCACUGGAGAAGUGGAGCCCAGAGGUUACCUUGGGCCACCCCACCAAGGUCCACCCAUGCACCAUAUGCCCGGCCAUGACAAUCGUGGUCCACCCCCACAUGAAAUGAGGGUAGGACCAAUGGGAGAACCCAGGCCACUGAUGGGAGAACCUAGAGGGCCUUUGAUGGAUGCUCGAGGUGGAAGAGAUCCCAGGGGCAUGGAGCCGAGAGGCAUGGAGCCCAGGGGCAUGGAGCCGAGAGGCAUGGAGCCCAGGGGCAUGGAGCCAAGAGGCAUGGAGCCCAGGGGCAUGGAGCCGAGAGGCAUGGAGCCCAGGGGCAUGGAACCGAGAGGCAUGGAGCCCAGGGGCAUGGAGCCCAGAGGGAUGGAACCCAGAGGCAUGGAUGCCAGAGGAAUGGAGCCCAGGGGCCCUGGCCCCAACCCAAGGGGCCCAAUGCCUGGUGGAAUUCAAGGACCUGGGCCACUUAACUUGGGAGCAAGUGGCCCUCAGGGACCUAGACAGGUUCCCAACAUGCCAGGGGCAGGCAUACAAGGAGGUGGCAUGCCAGGGGCAGGCAUACAAGCAGGAGGCAUGCCAGGGGCGGUGGUACAAGGAGCUGGCCAGCCAGGUGGCUUUAGCCCUGGGCAGAACCAGGUCACUCCCCAAGAUCAUGAGAAGGUGAGUGAACAAAGGGCAACUCAGGGUUUGGAGGGAGGGGAUGGAGGCUGGAUACCCUAUUGCUGUGGGAAUGAACUCAGUGCUCCUUCUCUCUGGCACAGCAAGAGUCUCCAGCGUCUUGUAGUUUCUGUGCUGGGGCCAAGUCAGCCUGGGGAGUUAAUGCUCCUGCAGCUUUCCAGGAGAAUGUUCCUAAGCAGCAGCAAGGCAGGUGGUUUGAAACUUUUCCUAUGGGUGUGGCCAGUGAGCCAGGUCCUUUCAGUUGAUGAGAGUUUAUACUGCUCCUGCGCUUUGCCUUCGUCCUGUCUCCUCCUUCCCUCCCUCCAGCAGCCUGGUCUCUGGAUAACUUCCUCUUUACUGGCUUUUCUGUAACCCUUUGCUGCGCCCUUCCUCCUGGGAAAUUGCUCGUGCACAUGGUGUUGCAGAUCCUCCCCUCUCUCCACAGGCUGCCCUGAUCAUGCAGGUUCUCCAGCUAACUGCAGACCAGAUCGCCAUGCUGCCUCCAGAGCAAAGGCAAAGCAUCCUUAUCCUAAAGGAGCAGAUCCAGAAAUCCACUGGGGCUCCAUAACAGAAGACACUUGGUGACCCUGGCAGCAACCCUGAAGAUCCAGACCUGUGGGAUGGAGGAGGCACCCAAGGCAGCAGCUUCACCUCAUCACCAUCUGACCUGGUGCAGCCAUCAGGGGAAGGGUGCCCCCUUCUUCCCACUCAGCAUAACCCCCGUACUUUUCAUUCUGUGUUUUGUGUGUGUUUUACAGUAUUUGAAAUAAACUUGGAGGAGGAUUUGA